rnacentral:rRNA from 1 species
CCUACGGGUGGCAGCAGUGGGGAAUAUUGGGCAAUGGGCGCAAGCCUGACCCAGCAACGCCGCGUGAAGGAAGAAGGCUUUCGGGUUGUAAACUUCUUUUAAGAGGGAAGAGCAGAAGACGGUACCUCUUGAAUAAGCCACGGCUACCUACGGGCCAGCAGCCGCGGUAAUACGGAGGUGGCAAGCGGUGUCCGGAUUUACGGGGUGUAAAGGGCGUGCAGCCGGGAAGACAAGGCAGAAUUGAAAUCCCGCGGCGCAACCGCGGAACUGCAUUUUAAACUUUUUUUCUUGAGUACCGGAGAGGUCAUCGGCAUUCCUUGUGUAGCGGUGACCUGCGUAGAUAUCAGG